GGCGUCUGAGAGCGCGAGUGGAAUCGGCGACGAGAAGAGGAAACUGAAGAAUCCCAGAGCGUACGACGAACUGCACAGGAAAGCAAAAGAUAUUUGUCCUGUGCCGUUGGGUGGUUGUAAGUUACUUAUAACGAAGGGCUUGAGUCGUCACUUCUCAGUUAAUCACACACUGAUUCUCGAACAACAGCAGCCGUCUUCGUAUACAUUUGGGGCGACAUACGUUGGAGCAAAGCAAGUCAGUCCAGUUGAGCACAUACAACUUUGCUGGGAAGCUGAACAAUCGACUGAUAGCUGCUUAUGAGAGAGGAGACAUGGCAACAGCACAGAAAGAACAAGUGAUCACACACCACAUUUCCUAUAUUUAAAUAUUUUACACAUUUAGUUACGUAUCUGUUGUUUAUUUGAUUGUCAGUAUCGUUCUCAAGCUGCUAUCCUCGUAUACAGAAAGUAUGCAGACUUGGUCGGACCCGCUGCUUCUGGUAAAGCAAUUAUGCAGCUGAUUGGGUUGAACGUGGGGCCACCACGUCUACCUGAAGUUGCUCUCUCUGCACCUCAAGUGAAAGAGAUGCAGAAGGAGCUGAACGAGAUUGGAUUUUUUGACUGGUAUCAGUGAAUUGUGUUGAUGUUUUAACUGUUUGACAAUGAAACGAAAGUGACUUGCAGUGUUGCUAUUUUCACAUGUUAAUAAAAGUGUUGCUAUUUUUACAUGUUAAUUAAUAAGUGUUGCUAUUGA